UACUCCUGACUGACCGAUAGUGAACCAGUACCGUGAGGGAAAGGCGAAAAGAACCCCGGCGAGGGGAGUGAAAAAGAACCUGAAACCGUGUACGUACAAGCAGUGGGAGCACAGGUUUACCUGUGUGACUGCGUACCUUUUGUAUAAUGGGUCAGCGACUUAUAUUCUGUAGCAAGGUUAACCGAAUAGGGGAGCCGGAGGGAAACCGAGUCUUAAUUGGGCGUUAAGUUGCAGGGUAUAGACCCGAAACCCGGUGAUCUAGCCAUGGGCAGGUUGAAGGUUGGGUAACACUAACUGGAGGACCGAACCGACUAAUGUUGAAAAAUUAGCGGAUGACCUGUGGCUGGGGGUGAAAGGCCAAUCAAACCGGGAGAUAGCUGGUUCUCCCCGAAAGCUAUUUAGGUAGCGCCUCGUGAAUUCAUCUCCGGGGGUAGAGCACUGUUUCGGCUAGGGGGCCAUCCCGGCUUACCAACCCGAUGCAAACUGCGAAUACCGGAGAAUGUUAUCACGGGAGACACACGGCGGGUGCUAACGUCCGUCGUGAAGAGGGAAACAACCCAGACCGCCAGCUAAGGUCCCAAAGUCAUGGUUAAGUGGGAAACGAUGUGGGAAGGCCCAGACAGCCAGGAUGUUGGCUUAGAAGCAGCCAUCAUUUAAAGAAAGCGUAAUAGCUCACUGGUCGAGUCGGCCUGCGCGGAAGAUGUAACGGGGCUAAACCAUG
rnacentral:rRNA from 1 species